UACGUAGGUGGCAAGCGUUGUCCGGAUUUAUUGGGUUUAAAGGGUGCGUAGGCGGCCCUGCAAGUCGGGUGUGAAAUCCCACGGCUCAACCGUGGAAGUGCACUCGAAACUGCAGGGCUAGAGUCCUGGAGAGGAAGGUGGAAUGCUUGGUGUAGAGGUGAAAUUCGUAGAUAUCAAGCGGAACACCGGUGGCGAAGGCGGCCAACUGGACGAAGACUGACGCUGAGACACGAAAGCGUGGGGAGCAAACAGG
rnacentral:rRNA from 1 species